rnacentral:rRNA from 1 species
UGGGAAGGCCCAGACAGCCAGGAUGUUGGCUUAGAAGCAGCCAUCAUUUAAAGAAAGCGUAAUAGCUCACUGGUCGAGUCGGCCUGCGCGGAAGAUGUAACGGGGCUAAACCAUGCACCGAAGCUGCGGCAGCGACACUAUGUGUUGUUGGGUAGGGGAGCGUUCUGUAAGCCUGUGAAGGUGGCCUGUGAGGGUUGCUGGAGGUAUCAGAAGUGCGAAUGCUGACAUAAGUAACGAUAAAGCGGGUGAAAAGCCCGCUCGCCGGAAGACCAAGGGUUCCUGUCCAACGUUAAUCGGGGCAGGGUGAGUCGACCCCUAAGGCGAGGCCGAAAGGCGUAGUCGAUGGGAAACAGGUUAAUAUUCCUGUACUUGGUGUUACUGCGAAGGGGGGACGGAGAAGGCUAUGUUGGCCGGGCGACGGUUGUCCCGGUUUAAGCGUGUAGGCUGGUUUUCCAGGCAAAUCCGGAAAACCAAGGCUGAGGCGUGAUGACGAGGCACUACGGUGCUGAAGCGACAAAUGCCCUGCUUCCAGGAAAAGCCUCUAAGCAUCAGGUAACAUC